AUUACAAGAUCUUUCACCGAGAUUUCAGGCCGUUGCAGCAACGUUUAUGCCAUAUAUAUACAGCCGGGGACCAAAACAACUAGAAGUGAGCAAACCAGUCAAUGGAUCCAUGUUUGCCAGUUUAACCAGAUCAUAUGUCAAAGAUCUUGCAAAGGGAGCUGUUGUUGAUGUUGACUCUGCAUUUCAAACGGCUGCUGCUACAAUCGAAAGGAGUAAGAGACGAAUGUAUGAAGCAGAUGAAAAAUAAAUCCUUGAAAAAUAACAUGAACUUUCUGUGGAUGCGAAAAGAAACAUUAUACGGGGAAAACUGACAACAAUAGGAGGAAGCGCAUAGAAAACAUGGUGAGAGGCAUAAACGUGAAAAAGAUAUUCCGGAAGGA